GAUGAACGCUGGCGGCGUGCCUAAUACAUGCAAGUCGAGCGAACAGACGAGGAGCUUGCUCCUCUGACGUUAGCGGCGGACGGGUGAGUAACACGUGGAUAACCUACCUAUAAGACUGGGAUAACUUCGGGAAACCGGAGCUAAUACCGGAUAAUAUAUUGAACCGCAUGGUUCAAUAGUGAAAGACGGUUUUGCUGUCACUUAUAGAUGGAUCCGCGCCGCAUUAGCUAGUUGGUAAGGUAACGGCUUACCAAGGCAACGAUGCGUAGCCGACCUGAGAGGGUGAUCGGCCACACGGGAACUGAGACACGGUCCAGACUCCUACGGGAGGCAGCAGUAGGGAAUCUUCCGCAAUGGGCGAAAGCCUGACGGAGCAACGUCGCGUGAGUGAUGAAGGUCUUCGGAUCGUAAAACUCUGUUAUUAGGGAAGAACAAAUGUGUAAGUAACUAUGCACGUCUUGACGGUACCUAAUCAGAAAGCCACGGCUAACUACGU
rnacentral:rRNA from 1 species